UCCCCCGUAGCUCAAUGGUAGAGCAGGAAGCUGUUAACUUCAAGGUUCGUGGUUCGAGUCCACGCGGGGGAGCCA
rnacentral:tRNA from 1 species